rnacentral:rRNA from 1 species
GACGAACGCUGGCGGCGUGCCUAAUACAUGCAAGUCGAACGCAGUGGGGACGGGUGAGUAACACGUGGGUAACCUCCCAUCAGAGGGGAUAACACUUGGAAACAGGUGCUAAACCGAUACUGAUGGAUGGACCCGGGGUGCAUGAGCUAGUUGGUGAGGUAACGGCUCACCAAGGCCACGAUGCUUAGCCGACCUGAGAGGGUGACCGGCCACACUGGGACUGAGACACGGCCCAGACUCCUACGGGAGGCAGCAGUAGGGAAUCUUCGGCAAUGGACGAAAGUCUGACCGAGAAACGCCGCGUGAGUGAAGAAGGUUUUCGGAUCGUAAAACUCUGUUGUUAGAGAGGCGGUAUCUAACCAGAAAGCCACGGCUAACUACGUGCCAGCAGCCGCGGUAAUAC